rnacentral:rRNA from 1 species
UACGGAGGGUGCGAGCGUUGUCCGGAAUCAUUGGGCGUAAAGGGCGCGUAGGUGGCCCGGUCAGUUCGUGGUGAAAGUUCGGGGCUCAACCCUGAAUCGGCCGUCGAUACUCCCGUGCUUGAGCACUGUAGAGGCAGAUGGAAUUCCGGGUGUAGCGGUGGAAUGCGUAGAGAUCCGGAAGAACACCGGUGGCGAAGGCGGUCUGCUGGGCAGUAGCUGACACUGAGGCGCGACAGCGUGGGGAGCAAACAGG